UUCAAACCUUUAUUUUUGAGGAAACAAAUGAUUUCGUUUAAAGGAAACUGUAUUUCAAAUCUCGAGAAUAUUUCAGAUUCUUGUGCAAAUGGGUAUUUUUAAGUGAUCUCAGGUUUUCAGGUUAAAUCUCUUUGUUUGUUAAAUUUCAGAGUUUCUGUUAGAUUUCCUCUGAUUCAGUUUACAGGUAUUUUGCUCUCACUUUAGUAAUUUUGUAUUAACGUCCUAUUUGGUCCACAUAUUAGAUUUGGCACAUGUUUUACGCUGGAUGCCUUUUCUUUCCCUCCCAUUUUUUAUCCAGGCUCGGGAUCAGCAUUGAGAGUUAACCCUUGAAUGACUGGUUCAGCUCCCUGCCUGGGAAUCGAAUCAGCUAUGCAAAUUUUCCUCACUGUGGGACAAAUAAAGGAUUCUCUUAUCUGAGGGCGUUUGGGUGGAAGAGUGGGGUCAAUACAGAUGGACUGGAUCUUCAGGAGGCCGUCAUGCUCACUGUCCCUCACAGGGAGCUGUAACCACGACCAAAACGGACCAAUCAGGAGGAAGAGUUUGGUCCAUCGACCAAUCAGGGAUCUCAGGAGGAUGGAUCAUUAAACACAGAAGACAAGAAAAAAGAGAAGAAAAAAAACACAUUAAGAAUGGAUUAGUGAAAUUGUAAUACUCAGCCCUACAGGUCAUGGUGUUUUCACUCCUUCCAGACUUUUCCUGGCCUCUCCGUCUCUCGACCCAUAAUUCAGGAGACUCCACGUCAGACUUCUUUCACACCAGCACUAGUUCCUGCUCUUAUCCUCUUUUUUCUUUCUCCACCUUUUUCCUUUAUUAUACCAAAAUACCUGAUCUUUCUUUCAUUAUAUUAUCCCUCCAUCUUUGUACUUUAUCUUCUUCUUACUUACUUUUUUCAUCCUUUCAUUCUGCUUUCUCUCUCUCUCUGUCCAUCCUAGUCCAUUAGACUUUUAACAUUCCCAUCUUUCUUGUUUCCUUUUCUUUCCUUUUCUUACACCUCCAGCUUCUGUUGAAAUAUCCCUCCAUCUUUCUUCAUUUCCUUUCUGUUAUUCCAUAAAUACAGAUUUCUUUCUUUCUUUCUUUCUUUCUUUCUUUCUUUCUUUCUUUCUUUCUU